AGGGUUCGAUUCUGGCUCAGGAUGAACGCUAGCGGCAGGCUUAACACAUGCAAGUCGAGGGGCAGCGCGAGUAGCAAUACUUGGCGGCGACCGGCGCAAGGGUGCGUAACGCGUGAGCAACAUGCCCGUAUCAGGGGGAUAAUCCAGGGAAACUUGGUCUAAUACCCCAUAGUAAUUUUGUAAGGCAUCUUAUAAGAUUUAAAGCUUUGGUGGAUACGGAUUGGCUCGCGUGACAUUAGCUGGAUGGUAAGGUAACGGCUUACCAUGGCUAUGAUGUCUAGGGGUUCUGAGAGGAAGGUCCCCCACACUGGAACUGAGACACGGUCCAGACUCCUACGGGAGGCAGCAGUGAGGAAUAUUGGACAAUGGAUGGAAAUCUGAUCCAGCCAUGCCGCGUGAAGGAAGAAGGUCCUAUGGAUUGUAAACUUCUUUUGUAUGGGAGCAAUAAGGCCUACGAGUAGGUUGAUGAGAGUACCAUACGAAUAAGCACCGGCUAACUCCGUGCCAGCCGCCGC
rnacentral:rRNA from 1 species